CUACCAAUUUUAUCAAUAUUUUCAGUAUCGGUAUAAAAUGAUUUGAUUGGUUGUCUCCAUAAAUUUCGGCUACCAUUCAAAUCAAAUAAUGUUUAAUCAUUCAAUAAUCAAACAUUCAUUGAAGAACCAGUUUGAAAAUGAAUCAAAUGGUAGAGCCAGAGCCCUAUGAGUAUAGGGCUCAGAAGUCAUAAGUCAUACUAUACCUACGGCCUUCACUCACCUACGAGAUGUGAUUGCAACUUGUUAUAUUUGCAUGUUCGAUUUGUACUUUAUUUAUCUCUUUCAUUAUUUACUGCUUUUAAUCACAUACACACGUUCUUCCUUUCAUACCUUUUAGUUACUUUAUUAUUUAGUCUUCUUUUAUCCUUUAACCAUUAAAUUGUAUAUCCUAUUAAUUCUCCCUCUAUAACUAAGCUAGGAUCAGGAUCAACGGUGUGUCAGUGUGUGAAAUUAUAGAAAAGGUUAGAUGAAGAAAACUAACAAGGAGAUCGGUGUAGCAUUCCGAAGAAAGAGAAAAACAAGAAAGGUGGAAUGAAGGAGCCAUACUUACAUUUCUUAGCCCACUCUAUGCAGACACAACUAAUAUUACUGCAGAAGUUUGUGAAAUUGAUAUUCAUUUGAAAGAUAUUGGGAUGUGGCCUGCAAUGUCAAAUUACAGUAUUUUGGAAAUGCUUAUACAACAUGGAUCGAAGGCAGUGCUAAAUAUUUACUAUGAAUUCAAAGAAGUUGUACGUCCAGGACAAAUAUCAAAACUGAAAGGUACUCUUAUAUAUUUGAAGAUUCAAAAUAUUUUGUGGAAUAAUCAGCAUUGUUAUAAAGGGCAUUCCGUUCAAAGCAAUUAAAUUAGGCAAUCAUGACAAGGCUAUUUCAUUACCUUCGGCUGUUCACGUUUGUCGUAUAAUAAUAAAUAUAGGAAUAUAUUCGA
rnacentral:lncRNA from 1 species